rnacentral:rRNA from 1 species
AGUGAACGCUGGCAGCGUGCCUAACACAUGCAAGUCGAACGAUGAUGGAGAGCUUGCUCUCCUGAUUAGUGGCGCACGGGUGAGUAUACCAUAGAUAAUGUACCCCUUAGUUCGGGAUAGCCACUGGAAACGGUGAUUAAUACCGGAUACUCCUUCUCAUUAUAAGAUGAGUCGGGAAAGUUUUUUCGCUAAGGGAUCAGUCUAUGUCCUAUCAGCUAGUUGGUGAGGUAAUGGCUCACCAAGGCUAUGACGGGUAUCUGGUUUGAGAGGAUGAUCAGACACACUGGAACUGAGACACGGUCCAGACUCCUACGGGAGGCAGCAGUGAGGAAUAUUGCACAAUGGAGGAAACUCUGAUGCAGCAACGCCGCGUGGAGGAUGACGCAUUUCGGUGUGUAAACUCCUUUUAAGAGGGAAGAUUAUGACGGUACCUCUUGAAUAAGCACCGGCUAACUCCGUGCCAGCAGCCGCCGCGG